AUUUCCCUUGACAUUUUUAAGGGGCCGGCAGCAAAGCACUGAGCAAACCAGAGAGAGGGAAAGAAAGAAGAACAAGAAGAAAGAUCAGAAAGAACGAGAGAGAGAGAGAGAGAGAGAGACAAAGAAGAAGUGGUUGAAGCUUCAACAAUGGCCAUAAGGUGCUGUAAACUGUUCGGGAGCAUGCAAGGAAACUUUUGGAGAAACACAAUGAAGCCUUUCUUUGAUGCAAGGGAACCUCUUCAAGGUCCCCCUUUGGACCCACCCUUGUUGAGAAAAACCCUGGAUGCACAACCUGCCAGUAAGAGCCCACAUUGGGUGUCAUUAAUGGAAAAUGCUUAAACAAAACGAAUUUAUGUGGUUAUUUCAACAUAUAUUCCUAUUAUAUAUGAACAAAUUCACCUCAAGUCAUGUGUCAUUUUAUUUUAAUAUUUUCUAUUAACUGCUUAACUUGUGAUGGGUUUAUCAUUUGAAUUGAAAUGUUUUUGAAAGUGUAGGGUUUAAUUUGAAAUCACCUGUAUGAGGUUUAAAAUGUAAUUUAUCCUUGCUUUUCUUUCUUUCUCUUGGGUAUAGUGGAGGUUCAAUGAUAUGUGAUGGUCCAUGCUUAUAUGUUCUUUAGAUCUACUGAUUUAGGUCUCUGUUAGUAAUAAUAGCUAACUGGCUUGUAUUUUACCUAUUGCAUCUCUUCAGAAAAUAUUUUUUUCACUGUGAAUACUGAAUAGAAAUUGUCUCGAAUAAUUAAGGAUGAAAGUCAUUAUCUUUAUAUGGAAAUCUCAGACCAUGCAAUGUAUGUGCGUUGGGUCAUUUAGACCAACGGAUUGUUGGAACAAGCUAGUUUGUCAAUAUUUGAGUAUUUUUAGUCAAAUAUAUUUAUUUGGCACGUUAUGGUUGAUGACUUUGUACUUGCUCUCUUGGCUAACCGUAGCCAUGGUGGAUCUGGUGUGUGUAUGAUUGUUGAGGAGUUGAAGCAAGGGAAACAAUGGUUUAGCGAUACAUUUCAUCUCAUUAGGUAACUAUAAGUUCAAGCCCAAUGUAACAUGUUAUUAUAUGCUAUUAUGAUCAAUUAUGCAGUGGAGAUUGCACUUCAAGCUUUUUCAGUCUAUUGCGUUAAUAUUUCUGUUGAGCUUGGCCUUUGCAGUCAUAGAUUAGUAAAACAAGUCUUUGAUAAGGAUCUAAUUAAAAUGGUGAUUAGGGUGGUUAAUUCAAGAUAGCUAGCUAGGUCCCCAAGAAAUGAUAGAAUUGAGAGAGAUGGAAUUUAGAGAACAGAAUUAUAAGGAAGAAACUGGACAUCAUUCUUAUUGCUUACCUUUCAUCACAAUGCAAUUCCCUAUUUAUCUGCAUAGUUCCAAUAACUGUCCAACUAACAUCAAGACUCUAACUAACUAACCAUCAGGAAGUUAGCUUAACUAAAUACUUACUGAAUUACACACAUGCUAAUUGCAUUUAGGAACAUGAUUAAUUUAAGAAUAGCACGUGUCUAAUAGCAAUCAACUAAGACAAGAUAUUUAGCACUAAGUGUCCAUUUGGCAUGAUUAAUUUUGCCUACUUAUUUUACUAUUCAACUUAUUUUUGCUACUAUUUAAGGGCUCCACUGCAUUUUUUGGUAUUAUUCAUGGGUCUCACUGUACUAUUUUAGCUAAUUUUUACCUUUAUCUAUAGUACUUUUAACAAAAAAUUUCAGUUAUAGCAAAAUAAGCAAAUCCCAAAUAGACCCUAAGCCAUGCAAUUCCCAGCUGCUGCUGCUGACUUAGCUGUGCUCUUGUUGCUGGAGUAGUUAAGCUUCUAGACUGUUGCUCAACUAUGCCACUAACUAAUACACCUGCUGGUGUGAGGAUGAUUCCCUUUCAAGUAUUAACUGGGUUCUUAAUCUUGCAAGAGCAGCAGUUUUGAGGCAUGGGGUGCGUGGACUUGUAAUUGAUCCUUACAAUGAGCUCUAUCAUCAGUGUCUUGUAAGCCAUUGCAGUAACGGGUUGGUGGUCCUCCUAAUAUGUAUGAUAUAGGUGGAAGUGCGCACUUCAUAAACAAAUGUGACAAUGGGAUUGUUUAUUCAUCGUAAUCAGAAUCCUGCGGCUGGGCCAAUAGAUCAAGUACAAGUUUGUGUUAGGAAGAUUCGAAAUAACGUUGCCGGAACCAUAGGAGAUGCCUUCUUGUCUUAUAAUAGGGUAACUGGUGAAUUCAUGGAUAUUGAUGAACCAUCUGGCAAGAGAUAGGCAAUGAUAUGAUUGUUGAGGAAGAAAACAUUUGCCUGGUCGUAUCCACCAAUUUAUAGGCCCUCACAGAGUUUUUCUUGGUGCAAACUGUUGGUGGUGAGAGAUGAUGAUGGGCAGUAAUUUUGCAUCGAAGCUGAUAAGAUUAUGGUUGGCAUACAAUUCUGGAGGGUAGGCUAAAAUUUUCUACUAUUAGAAACUUAUUUUAGGAGAUGAAUGAUUUAUUUUGUUUGAACUUGUAUAAUAUCAGACGAUAUUCAACAACUCAGGAGGGUGUUUGGUACAUCUACUCAAAACACAUUUUUAAUUUUUAAACAAUAUUACAUGCAUUUCUAUACAAUAUUUCACUCACACGUAUUUCCACACAUGUUUUCAAACAACAAAACACAUGUUUUUAAACACAUGUACCAAACACCCCCAAAUGAUUUCCACUAAUACGUACACGCGUCUGCACAGCACAAUCCCUUGGUAGAAGUUGGAAUGCAUUUUUUUGAAAUCUAGGACAAAAUUAAUGGGACCGUAAACGUGUUGAGAUCGAGCUCAACACCAAACUAGAUUAUGUGUUCAAAUAAUUUGAUUUCAUAUAAAUUUAUAUAAUCUAAUUUCAAAUACGUAUAAAUAUAUUUAUAUACAUGUAAACAUACUUUUAAUAUUAUAUAUGCUCAAAUUGAGUCUCAUAUUCAUGAGUUUAUUUAUGGACACAUUAUCAUGUUUGGGUUUGGUUGGUUUGUUAAAUAAGUCAUCAUAAAUAAGGUAAGUUGUUUCUUAGCUUGGGUUAGAACUUAGAAGGUUCAUAAAUAGCUUGGUUCACAUCUCUGACCUAAUAUUUUGGGGUUAAACCCUGUGAGUUAUUUCUUGUUCCAACUCCAAGCGAAAUAUCUUCAAGCAUACGUAUGCUUUAAGAUUUUUUUAAUUUUUUUAUUCAGCAAAAAAAAAAAAAAAAAUCUUCAAGCAUACGUAUGUUUUUCCACCACCGGUUAUUGAGUGGAACAAAGCAGGGAAUAUAAAUUGAUCAAUGAGCUGUAGGCUAUAUAUAGGAAGUCGGUAACAUUUUAAAACAUCAUCAUCAUCUUGUUAACUAUUAAUUAUAUACAGAUUUUUUUUUUUUUUGAAGAUAAUUAUAUACAGAUUUGAGAGGUAGCUUUAAGAGGGUCUAAUAUCAAAUUUGGUUAGCCAAAUUACUAGGUGGAUUAACACAUAACGGAAAAGGCUGUAAUAUAUUGAAUCUAAUUAAAAAUUAGGUUAUUGUAAUGUGGGGGUGGGCCAACAAAUCAGCUCCGUCAAUUCUGACCCGGUUCCCAUAAACAGUAACUGAAGAAGAAGUCUUAAGAUUUUGUUGGAUUGAAUGGCCGUCUCUAUCCACAAUUUCCUUUCUUUCCCAUUUCCUGCCUUUAAAGAAUAGGGGACUUAGGGUUAGGGUUAGGGGGACCUCCAUUAAUUUUAUGUCCGAUUACGUUAGACCUUAGAAGAAGGGGAAAAAAAAAAAAAUGCCACGUGCGAGAUACAUAAUUGAGAAGCAUUAAAUACAUUAUCUUUAUAUUAAAAUAUGGUUACGUGACUUGUAAAGUCGGAAAAUAUGACACGGAAAAAGACACAUAUGGGCGUGUUGACUGUAAAGAAGGUAUUAGAUAAGCCCGUCUCACCGAGAAUCUUGUCGUGUUGCAAUCAAAAGUAGGUUCCCCAGAUAAGACCGGCUCUUAAAGACAAGCAAUAUAAUAAAUAAUAUAGCCUGCAGCCUUGCUUUCUUCUUGCUCCCAUUGAUUUACAUUGUUAAUUUGCCUUUCGACAAGUUUUCUACUCUUCCCCAACGCGGUGUUAGCCGCCCGCGCUUAUUCGUAAACAUUUAUCUUCCUAAGAAACAAUAACUCCACCCAACCCAAACAGCCCUUAUAAAUAUAUAUAGAAAACCCUCCAUCAACUCAUACCUAUAUUCUCUCAUUCUUCUCCUUUUAUCAUUCCUCCUACUUUGUUUUAUUAUCAAUAUCUACACAUACCUUUCUUUGGUUUCUUAAGAGAGCUUUGUUCAAAUAUGAGUUCAAGUGAGCCUGCAGUUGCAUAUCCUCCACCUUCAACCGCGCCAACUUAUUAUGUAGCUCCACCACCGGCUGGUUAUCCUACAAAAGAUGGCUCCGGAUACUCUCAAAAUCCUCCUCCUCCUGUGGAAACCAAGUCUAGGGGUGAUGGGUUUUGGAAGGGAUGUUGUGCUGCCUUGUGUUGUUGCUGUGUGCUGGAUGCAUGCUUCUGAGGGUUGACAGCAUUCUAGAGGCCUGAGGCCAUUGUUCUUUUAUUUGAUUUCACUCUUUUUUUUUUUUUUUUUUGGUCAAUAAAAUAUUUAUACAGAGUUUGUUAUUAUCUUAUUGUUUUAGUUUUAAUUAGUGCCUUAGUGGUUGAUUUGCUGUCCUUGUAUCGUUGUUCUAAUUAACAUUAUUAUACAAUUGAUUUAUUUUUUUAAUA